rnacentral:rRNA from 1 species
AUGACGUGCAACUCUUUUACAAG